GGUUGCGGUGAGCCGAGAUCCCGCCAUUGCACUCCAGCCUGGGUAACGAGUGAAACUCCGUCUCAAAAAAAAAAAAAAAAAAAGACCUGAUUAUCACUUCUGUUACCCAGAUUUUACUCAUUACUUUAUUCAGCAAAUAUGGAUUCAAUGCCUACUAUGUGUCAGGCACUACAGUAGGCAGGAUACUAGGCUCAGCCAACGAACACACAGUCCCUGCCCACUCGGCCGUUAGGGUACUGGUAGGAAAAUGGACAUAGAAUCACACCAGUAAGAUACCACCUCGUAGUAAGUGCUGUAAGACUGCAUAGGGAAGCAGCAGCUUGAUGGGAGGAAAGGAAGGUGUCCCUGAGAAACAGAUGAGAAGAAGAUGAAGGAGCCAAGAUCCAAGGAAGAUAGAUGAGUUGUAGUCUGACUACUUUGCCCAAUCUGGUCUUGAACUUGUGAGCUCAAGCAGACCUCCUGCCUCUGCUUUCCAGUGCUGGAAUUACAGUUUAAGAGACUAGGAUGUUGAAAUAUCUCAGCAAAGGCCACUAAGGGACUCUUGAGUCCACGAAUGGUGAAACACUGGACCACCUGGGAGGAGCUGGGUACAUUCCCUGGCCUUCUCUCAGAGGGGCUUUUACUGUGUUGUAACAUGCAGUGGUGUGUUGGUAAAUAUUUAACAAGUCAUCUCCAAGGAGAAAAGUCUUACUUUGUAGUGUUUACCUAUGACUGUGGUGUAAAUGCCUCUGCUAUGGCCAAUUUCAAGCUACCAAUAGGAUGUCACUGAAACCAAAGUUGGAUAGAAAAGUGCGUCAUCAUCGUGAGCAGCUGACUCCAGCAUGCCACUGCAGCUCCACUUCCCAAGGCAAAUCUGUCAGUCUUCACUCCAUGAGGAUGUACAGGCCCAGGAGCUGGACAAUGUAGCUCUUAGAAGAUCACGGCAGAGUUAGUUUCCUGAUUUCAGGGACCAAAUAUUACUGCUAAGAACAAAUGUGGCCAGGCAUGGUGGCCUGUCAGCCCAGCACUUUGGGAGGCCGAGGCGGGCAAAUCACAAGG